AAAGGCAUGGCCUGACAUCCUAACACACAAAGUAGAAAAACUCUUUUAGGAUUAACGUUCUUUUAAAGAUUGAAUGCGUGCACUAACAUCAUUCAACUACGCUUGUCGUCGAACGUGGCCAUAUAGUGGGCAUUGUUAUUCCAUGUUAAGGAAAGUACAAUACGCACCACUAAAGGACACCCUUCACUUUAUUGUUCUACAGCCUUCACUGUACUGUUUGGAGUGGGUUCCAUAUAAGAAUGACGCUGCUGUUAUUACAAUGAGGAAAUAUUUAUAGAACCGAGCUAGAUCACUGCAUGCAUAAGAUGAAGGGUAGCCCUCGAAAUAUACUUGGACCGGCAUGUAGACACUGCGUCAAUGCAUAUCUCAGUAGGCUAUAUGUACACGGUAACGCAUCAGUUUCGGCAAACUUCUCAUACACAGCAGCUGAAUAUGGCUGAGAUUGCUAUACGCUUUCUGAUAGUAUUGGUCACAUGCUUUUUGAUUUCCUUCACAGAAGGAGCUCAGAGUAUUUCAAGCGAUUUUUAUGGUAGCAAUGGUCUUGAAAUCAGCGGGAAAGAUUGGUGGCCGCGACCAAAAGGGCCCUGCCGGCGAAAAAAUGAAGUCUUCAAGCACUGCGUUGGUACAGGCUGCGAGGAGGUCAAGUGUUGGAAGCCUACAAUUGGUCCGGUCUGCCACUACGACUGCAAGAGCGGCUGCUUUUGUGCGAAAGGUUUCUACAGAGACUAUCGAGGGAAGUGCGUUUCCUGGAAUAAGUGCCUCAAGCAGAUGUACCCUUGGUACCUGGGUGGGCAGUACUCAUGGUUGCCGUCCGCGGAACCACUCUACACUGGAAUGGUCCCUGUGGUGUUCUAGCAAGCAAUCGACAUACUGAGCACGGUUGGAAAUGCCUUUUUAAAGGCUUAAUAGGCGAAUAAAGAUGACUUAAUGUUAUA